AGAGUUUGAUCCUGGCUCAGAGCGAACGUUAGCGGCGGGCCUAACACAUGCAAGUCGAGCGAGAAAGGGACUUCGGUCCUGAGUAAAGCGGCGGACGGGUGAGUAACACGUAGGUAAUCUUCCCUUGAGCGGGGGACAACAAGCCGAAAGGCUUGCUAAUACCGCAUACGUUUCUCGGGACUCCGGUCCAGGGAAGGAAAGCUAGGCCGCACGGUCCGGCACUCGAGGAGGAGCCUGCGUCGCAUCAGCUAGUUGGUGGGGUAACGGCCUACCAAGGCGAAGACGCGUAGCUGGUCUGAGAGGAUGAUCAGCCACACUGGGACUGAGACACGGCCCAGACUCCUACGGGAGGCAGCAGUGGGGAAUAUUGGACAAUGGGCGCAAGCCUGAUCCAGCCACGCCGCGUGAGUGAUGAAGGCCUUCGGGUCGUAAAGCUCUGUGGGGAGGGACGAACCGCCGGACGUGCAUAGCGUCCGGCAUGACGGUACCUCCUUAGCAAGCACCGGCUAACUUCGUGCCAGCAGCCGCGGUAAUAC
rnacentral:rRNA from 1 species